rnacentral:rRNA from 1 species
GACGAACGCUGGCGGCGCGCUUAACACAUGCAAGUCGAACGGAAAGGCCUGCUUUCCCUUGUGGAUUGCGGGUACUCGAGUGGCGAACGGGUGAGUAACACGUGAGUGAUCUGCCCCCAACUUGGGUAUAAGCCUGGGAAACUGGGUCUAAUUCCCGAUAGGACUGCAGGGUGGUGCCUGUGGUGGAAAACGAUUUUCUAGUGGUUGGGGAUGAGCUCGCGGCCUAUCAGCUUGUUGGUGGGGUAAUGGCCUACCAAGGCGGCGACGGGUAGCCGGCCUGAGAGGGUGGACGGCCACAUUGGGACUGAGUUACGGCCCAGACUCCUACGGGAGGCAGCAGUGGGGAAUAUUGCACAAUGCGCGGAAGCCUGAUGCAGCGACGCCGCGUGGGGGAUGACGGCCUUCGGGUUGUAAACUCCUUUCGACCGCGAGGAAGCCACCUGGUUGGAAGGGUGGUGACGGUAGUGGUAGAAGAAGCACCGGCUAACUACGUG